UCUUAAAUAUAUUUUGUUUCUUCUAGAGACUACUUUAUCAAAAAGAGACUUGCAUAACAUAAGCCUUCUAACAGGAAGUACAUUUGUUUGCUCAUUCAUUCAACCAAUAUGUAUCAAAACCGUAACAUGUGCACAGGCAAAAGGAUUUCUGCCCUGCGUGGAGUCUAGUAGGGGAAAAGAGUUCAGUUAAAAGGAUUAUGAUGUCAACUUUUAUGCUGUUAAGUUUCAUACUCCUGAAGUUGGGUAGUAAACUGCACCUUGAAGCUAGGCGGACAGUGCGUGGCCUACAGGCUUUUUGCUCUUCAUCACUGCUCUAUACGAUACGACUGUCUGGACUCUUCAGUCUGAGGCCAACAUUGCAGAUUUGCUGUUGACAUAAACCAACAUGUUUGCAAAAGGAAAAACCUCUGACUGUCAGACUGUGGGUGUGGCCAUAUUACAGUCAAGGCUAUCAGUCACAAGAAGGAUAAUAUAAAGGAAUGGUUUAGCACAGACAUAUCACUUACUGCUGGAACUAGAACUUGUAAGUUUCCCCAGAUGGUAGGUCAGCAAUAUUCUCUUCACAGUGAUAAUGAAAUGUCCUUUUGCUACUAGAGGUUAUGCACUUCCUCUGAAACUGUUAAGUGAUUCUUACUCCUCUUUUUAAGAAAUACUCUUUAAAAAUCAUAACCAUUGCAAAAAUUCAGAUGAAAGUCAAAAGUAAAAAUCUCCUAUAAUCUUAUCCCCUAGGCAUAUAUUAAUAUUUCUAUGUGAAUCUAACUAUACUUACUUCUCAGCAUACACAUUUAGCAAACAUGGAAUCAUACUAUUCAGUUUAUAACUGCUUUUUGAUCUUUGCAAUAGAUGUGGACAUUCUUCAAUAAAAUACAAUGCAGAUUUCAAUUUAUUAAUGUAGAUGUACACUCUAUUUUACUGAGUGCAUAGUAUUCCACUGCAUGUUGGUGAAUUACCCUACUGGUUGACAUUUAGGUUGUUUUGCAAUAUAUAUACACUGCAAAUAUGGAUAUGUAUAAGAAAUAAAACAUCUUGUAUAAAGAUAUAUCACCACCUUUUAACAGUCACAAUUUAUUUAAGAUAAUUCAUUAGUGACAAGAAUGACAAUGCUUCACCUCAGUCAUCAAUGAACUUUUACAAACUCAUGAAAUAAAAUUAUUUAAAAGUUAUGUCACCUGUAAAAAGAUGAGGAAAUUUAAUAGGCAGUAUCACAGCCUCUUUCAGUGCUUCUUUGGCUCCUUCAAGUCCAGCAACGUCACUCCAUUUCACAUUUGGUCGUUCUAUAACAAUGGCACCUGCAAAAAAUUACGUUAUCUUUAAAUUAAGAAAGACUAUUUCACCAAAGUUAGAAGACAACAUGAAAUAAUGAUGUUAAAGAAACGCAUUAUAAAAUUGGGAAAGUUUUAUGUACUAACAACCUUUUUGAAAUAGCGUGAGCAGGAAGCAGGUGUUAGGGAGUAGUCAAUAGGACUAGGAACCAGGUGGAUGACUAGACAACCUGGGGCAUGUUACUUUACCCUUCUGUUUCAGCUUCCUCACUUGUGAAAUGAAAAUAAUACCAUCUGCCCAAACUACUUAGAUAGGUUGGUGCGAAAAUCAAAUGACAUAAUGAAUAUUAGAGUGUUUGGAAAAGCACCAAACGUUCCAUAAGGUGGUUAUAUUUGAAUACAUUGAUUUUGGAGUAUCAAAAGUACUUGUUCUACCAUUUCUCCUGUUAACCAAAAGAAAAGGUGAUCUAAUCCUCUCCUCAACCACUGAAAAAAAAAAUAUGCUUAACAAAUUUAACUCAAGAUAGGCAGACAGACAGAAGGGAGAAGGAAAAGGAGAGAGGAAAGGAAGGAAUGGAAGCAGAUGAUGGGAAACCGAGAAAAGAUACCCCUGCAGAUUUGCAAUACUUUCCUAAGAUUUGCCCAAGUUUCUAUUUGGCUGCUAAAUAGAUCUAUUUACAACUUUUGUUAAUUAACAAAGUUAACUUACAGGGAAGAUUUAGCUUCUGAAUGCAGUAUAUUCAAAAGCCAAAGCAAUUAUUGCAGUAAGAGUCCAAGAAGGAUGUCUUUUAAUAUAGCCUACUGACAAAUUUUCUAGUUCUCUUUUAUCAAAAGCUUUUCUAAUUUUCUAGAAUAUGGAAACUGUUCCACUAUAAACUAUGAAGCAGCCUGUUCUAAGAUGACAUGUAGUUAGUUGUUUUAAGUGUAACAGAACACCACCACUUAUACAAUCUAUUACUUUAUGAAAUCACUGCUACUGAUUGUUUCUUCUUGUUAGGAAAGAUAAUCUGUUACUCUAAGACUAGUUACUAGCAACUUACUUCCCUAAAUUAUGAAAAUCUUUAGCUACUAGAUUAAAAUUACAUGAAACCAUAAGCAUUUUGUAUUCCAAAAGUUCAGACUACUAUAAAGUAAGAAAAAAGUAAAUUCAUUUCGUCUUUUUUAUGUUUCAUUAAGAUUAGUAAUCCUAGGAUUUCAUGUCAGUUAAACAAAAAUAAACUUUAUUUUAUAUAUGUA